GGCCUGCGGGGGGGCUCAGGUUAUUUUGGCCCUGCCCAGCCAUCGGGGGAAAAGCAGCAAGCGGAAAGGGGCUGGCUGGGGGAUGCCAGCCGAGGCCCCGGGGGGAUAGCUGGGGGUUCCUGCUCUGAGGCCACUGCAGCCCCUAUCUCUGCUGGACCUUGUGCUGGGGGCCCCACCAAGCUGCUGCCAGGACGCUGCUGUCCUUUGCCCUGGGUGCACCUGAUCUCCGUGACCCGCAUUCCUGUUACUCUCCGGCCAGCCUGGCGCUUGCAGCAAAGCCGGCUCCAUGUUCCAAGGCUGAUUCCUUUGCACCAGUCAGAAUUUUCCACCCCUGCCCCCAGGCUAUUUCAAGGAUGAGCCGGAUCAAAGUCAGCUGAGGAAUUUAAGAAGGGCGGCGGAUGAGAGAGCAUGACGGAGGCUGGAAUUUGAACCCCACUGAAAUGUAGGCGCCUGAUCGCAUUCAGAUCCUUUGAAUGGCCCAGCGCUAGUGGCAAAGCAAGCAAUGGGGCACUAGGGCUCCUGGGUUCUCCUGCUGGCUUUGCCACCGAGCGCCACCUCCCCUCGCUGGGUCUUGGGCUGUGAUCAGACGGGCUGGGUGAUGCUCGCAAAGCCCCUUUGAGAUCCAGCGGCCCAUGAAGCUGGUUAUUACCGGGGCAAAAAAUAGAAAAUCCGAAAAGCUUCAAAAUCCUCUCUGGCUUGGGAUGGGUUUUUUCUUUUCAAAAAAGGCGCAGUUUAGUGUGUGUGGGAAAGACGCCAGCCAGGUCUGGAGUGAAACGGAGUCUGAUUCCCCCUCACGAGCAGCGCGAGUUUGUCAGGCCAUUUUGAAGAAUCGUCUCUGUGGGGCCGACGAUCCUGGGCGCACUGACGGGCUUUGGAAAGCCGCAGGGUUCUGCAAGACAAGGGGCAGUUUGGGGGCCAGCGCCGCAAAAAAUUCUGCGUUGAGAAACAUCCCGAAAGGGAAACAGACGGGAAUUUUCAGGCAAAAUUUGGAACCAGCAUUUGGCCGAGACCUGCCUCUGAUGCUGACCAAUAGGAUCUCACUGUUUCCUUUACUCCCCUGUCUGAUUGGCUCCAUCUGUAGUUAAAUUGGAAGUGCUCUGGGGCAGGGACUGACUCUUUGUUCUGUGUUUCUGCAGCAGCUGACACAAUGAUUAGGGCUUCCGGCUGCUGCUGUGCAACAAAUAAUAAAUAGUGAUCAUCCUAAUUAAUAACUGUCCAGUUUGUUGUUGUUUAAUCCCACAACCCCCCCAACUGUGCUGCCAUUUCCUGGGGUCAGCUGGGGCUGCCGAUGCGCCUUGCUGUGCCUGGACGGUUCUAGCCCUGGCACAGAGUAACCCAACUUUUCUAGACUUUUGAAGUGUUGUAAAUAAGAGGCAACUUCGUCCAGCAGACCUGGCCCUGGGUGGUUGUUAUUUAUAUAACGCCCUGACAGCUUGGGAACCAGGAGUUCCGAGCUGGCCGCAGCAAUGAGUCACUCAUGCCUGACGAG